rnacentral:rRNA from 1 species
CAGUAGCCGCGGGAAUACGAAGGGGGCUAGCGUUGUUCGGAAUAACUGGGCGUAAAGGGCGCGUAGGCGGAUCUUUAAGUCAGGGGUGAAAUCCCAAGGCUCAACCUUGGAACUGCCUUUGAUACUGGAGAUCUUGAGUCCGGGAGAGGUGAGUGGAACUGCGAGUGUAGAGGUGAAAUUCGUAGAUAUUCGCAAGAACACCAGUGGCGAAGGCGGCUCACUGGCCCGGUACUGACGCUGAGGCGCGAAAGCGUGGGGAGCAAACAGGAUUAGAUACCCCUGUAGUCCCUGUCUCUUAUAC